rnacentral:tRNA from 1 species
GCCCUGGUAGCUCAGCUGGUAGAAAGUGCUAAAAGCGGCUGCCUCGUAAGCAGCAGGUCGCGGGUUCGAAUCCCGCCCAGGGCU